AUCGCUUCUCGGCCUUUUGGCUAAGAUCAGGUGCACUGCAUUAUGUAAAACUCACUUAAGCAAAAUGAGGAUCCAAGUCUCUGGCUGAUUUCAGAUGAAAUUUCAUGUAUUUCCAAUUUUCCUAAUACAAAUUUUUUAAAACUUCUGCU
rnacentral:snRNA from 1 species